rnacentral:misc_RNA from 1 species
AGCAGCCGCGGUAAUUCCAGCUCCAAUAGCGUAUAUUAAAGUUGUUGCAGUUAAAAAGCUCGUAGUUGAAUUUCGAGAUCAAAUUGUUGGUCGUGCCUUGGUACGCACUGGCAUUAUUGGUUUCUCCCUUCUGACGAACCAUGAUGUCAUUAAUUUGGUGUCUUGGGGAAUCAGGACUGUUACUUUGAAAAAUUAGAGUGUUUAAAGCAGGCUUACGCUUGAAUACAUUAGCAUGGAAUAAUGAAAUAGGACGUUUGAUUCUAUUUUGUUGGUUUCUAGGAUCGACGUAAUGAUUAAUAGGGAUAGUUGGGGGCAUUAGUAUUCAAUUGUCAGAGGUGAAAUUCUUGGAUUUAUUGAAGACUAACUACUGCGAAAGCAUUUGCCAAGGAUGUUUUCAUUAAUCAAGAACGAAAGUUAGGGGAUCGAAGACGAUCAGAUACCGUCGUAGUCUUAACCAUAAACUAUGCCGACUAGGGAUCGGAUGAUGUUAAUUUUUAAUGA